CUCUCAUAGAUGUUCAUGGCCUUGCUGGCAACCGCNNNNNNNNNNNNNNNNNNNNNNNNNNGCCUCGAGGGGAAGCCUGCCACCCCGAGGCCUGCGGACCGCCAACAAGGAAUGACCAGAACCCAGGCGAGCCUGUUGCUAUUGUCAGCAAGGACACUGGCCGAGCAUCCCAGCGCCCCAGCUCCACCCAGCAGUGGGGGCUGCGGCUCCACCCAGAUGAUGUGAAAAGACAGUUGGACCUAGAACCAAAUUCCGGGACGGUUAUAUUUUGGGGUUGGGAAAUCCAUCCAAAAAACCCCUUUUCCCUGGUGCGUGUGAACUUUGGGGAGCAACGAUUAUGCCUCCGCAAGAGCCAGCAGAAAGCUCAAAGUCUCCACACCGCCAAGGCAGCUGUCUCAAACGUACACGUUAUUAAGCUGAUUGAAAUAAUCAGAAAACAGCUCCAGAAUGCUGGCUUGGAGAAAGGUUCAUUAACGAGGCCUGCGGGAAUGAGGAUUGGCUUGCCCACCGUGCUAACUGGACUGGAGGAAGAAAGAAAAGUCAGAAAAGAGAGAGCCAUGUUCAGCUGAACAGGCAGCUUUCCCAGAUCCUGCUGGCCCAGGCCUAGGGCCUGAGGUGGGUGCCCUGCCUACCCACUCAAGACGAAAGAACACUUAGGAAUCCUUGAUUGUGGGGACGCCUGGGUGGCGCAGUCAGUUAGGGGCCCGACUCUUGGUUUCGGCUCAGGUCAUCAUAUCAGGUCGUGGGAUCCAGCCCUGCGCUGGGCUCCACGCUCAGUGUGGAAUCUGUUU
rnacentral:lncRNA from 1 species